rnacentral:antisense_RNA from 1 species
GGUUCAAAAACUCUGGUCUGAAAUAAGGUGCAAUGCGAUCCAUAAUGUUAGACUCAGAAGUUUCCGUAUCUUGUUGGCCAAAACCGGCAUUUGAUGUAGCAAUAAUAACGGUAUUUUUAAAGUUAAUAGUAUUUCCUUGUCCAUCUGUCAAUCGUCCAUCAUCUAAUACUUGUAGAAGAAGUGUAAUAAUUUGAGGAUCAGCUUUUUCAAUUUCAUCUAGUAAGACAAUAGCAUAAGGGUUACGACGAACACGCUCAGUUAGGGUAUUAUUAUUAUCAUCGUAGCCAACAUAACCAGCCGUUGUCCCAAUCAAUUUUGACACAGCAGUGCGAUCGUUAUAUUCGGACAUAUCAAGUCGAAUAAUAGCAUCUUUGGAACCAAAUAAAUCAAGUGCUAAUUGUUUAGCUAACUCUGUUUUACCAACACCAGUUGGACCCACAAAAAGGAAAGAACCUAUUGGACGUUUACCAUCAUCAAAACCUGCCCGAUUUCGUCGAAUAGCACGUGCUACUGCUGCGACAGCCUCAUCUUGUCCGAUGACAUGGCUUUUUAAGCGGCUGCUAAUUCCUUUGAGCCUUUCUAAAUCAUUAGUCCCCAUGUUAGAGACAGGAAUACCAGUUAAGCGCUCUACAGACUCUGCGAUAUCAUUGACUGUAGCAGUGACAUUUUGGCUUUGGUUAUGUUGCUCAAUUUGCUUUUGUAAUGUUUCAAUCCGUGUUUUUGCUGCUAAAGCUUUUUCAAAGUCUUCUUUGGCGACAGCUUUUUCUUGACUCUCUUUUUGUUUAGCUAUUUCAGUUUCGAGUGUUUUUAAGUCAGUGACCGGGUGUUGCGCAGCUAAAUGAGCAGCUGUCAUAUCCAGUAAGUCAAUUGCUUUAUCUGGCAGGCUACGCUGUGGGAUGUAUUGAAUAGAAUAAUCAACAGCAGCUUUUAGAACAUUAUCAGGAAGGGUAAUAUGGUGGUGUUGUUCAUAAAGAUUACGAAUACCCAUUAAAAUGUGAAAAGUAUCUUCAGCUGAUGGUGCAUUCACUUUAACUUCAUUAAAGCGACGAGCAAGAGCAGCAUUUUUUAAAAUAGUAUUGCGGUAUUCGUCUUGAGUAGUAGCACCAAUCAGUGUUAAUUCUCCUCGUGACAAGGCUGGUUUAAGAAUAUCUGCAAGUCCCUUUGAGCCUGAAUCACUGCUUGUGGCACCAGCACCAACUAUUUGAUGAAUUUCAUCAAAAAAUAAGAUGAUAUUCCCAGCUUCUUUUACUUCUUGAAUCAAGUUUUGAAUGGUCUCUUCAAAGGAACCACGAUACUGUGUACCAGCUUCAAGACUAGAAAUAUCAAUUGAUACGAUUUCCUUGUUUUUAAUAGCAGCUGGGACAUCUCCAUUAACAAUGGCUUGAGCUAAACCUUCAAUGACUGCAGUUUUACCGACACCAGCAUCUCCGACAAGGACAGGAUUAUUUUUAGUUCGUCGUGCCAAGAUUUCAGCGGUAUCUUGAAUUUCUUUGUUACGACCAAUGACGGGGUCAAGAUGCCCUUGACGAGCUUCUUGUGUUAAGUUAGUUCCGAGUUGAGUCAAUACACUAUCAGCUUUAGGUGUUAACAUUUGAGAAUUUGUUGCUUUGGUUGUCGCUACAGGGAGUUGUCCUGUUUGACGAUAGUGUUGGAAUUCUUCGGGAGUUAUUUCGCGACCGUUAACGAGAUAGCGGGGAUUUUCGCUACGAUAACCACCCAUGUUUGCCAUUAAUUGAUUGAAAAUAUCAUCCAUAUUUACAAAAGGAUCUUUACCAGAAAAAUGUGUCAUAUCAGUUACCUCGCAAUAAAAAAUAGACUAUAAGAUGUUUGUAAGCAGUCGCAGAAUCGUUGUUAGGAUUUCACAUGAUAGGAAAUCCUUUGCUAAUAAAAUGAUUCAGACAUU